AACCAGCCCAAGAAGUGGAAUACACGCCAAAAUGCAAGUUUGGAGAAGCACCCAAGAAGUGCCGGGGCUU
rnacentral:tRNA from 1 species